rnacentral:sRNA from 1 species
GGGUCUACGGGCUCUUUUAUGGCGAAUGCAAUCCGAAAAGAGAGCAAGCUGUAUCUUCAGAGUCGUCUCCGUCUUUCCAAGAACAGAACAAAAUGAACAAGGUAGAACAGAAGUUCCAGGGGUCAGUAUCAUUUAAAGAUGUGACUGUGGGCUUCACCCAGGAGGAGUGGCAGCACCUGGACCCUAGUCAGAGGGCUCUGUAUAGAGAUGUGAUGCUGGAGAACUACAGCAACCUUGUCUCAGUGGGGUAUUGUGCUCACAAACCAGAGGUGAUCUUCAGGCUGGAACAAGGAGAAGAACCAUGGAGACUGGAGGAAGAAUUUCCAAGCUGGAGCUUUCCAGGUGAGUUAAUAUGUACUGCACAGAUUCACAUCAGGGGAUUUUUUGUUUCCCAGUAGUUAAUUCAGGGUUUGGCAACUUUGGAACAUUUUUCAAGAACAUCUCCAUAGGGGUCCUAACCUCU